rnacentral:rRNA from 1 species
AUGGAUUAUUCCUCUUCCACACAGUUCCUUCCAAAAGGAUAUUCUUCGGAUGAGCAAAUCGAUUGCUUCCGGCGACCUGCUGGGCUAAGAUUCUCACUGGAUCCGCUCUUGCGCCAAGGAUGCGGUGGCGCCGCCGGCGGCCGCACGGAGACGCCGGCACAGGCGAGCUUUCGCGAGGUGAACCAAGUAGCUAUCGACCUGCGUGGAGCAGCGCGGCGCAGCAGGCACCAAGGAGCGGAACCUGGGUGCAUCAGUGCGGCAAGUAGCAGUGCAGGUAUUGGAGGCUUCUACAAUAUCAUGUCUUAG